AAUUAUACGACAAACCUUGUUCGGUUUUGCCAAUUUCCAAGCCAGCACUGGGUAAAGUUUGUCCUAUAAU
rnacentral:pre_miRNA from 17 species